CCUGUGGAGAAUUAUAUCAAACGAAAGUAGUAUUCAUAUACAAAAUCGGAUUCGAUGAAACAGGAA
ncrna:unclassified sequences RAGATH-18 RNA